rnacentral:rRNA from 1 species
ACUUAAAUUGAAGAGUUUGAUCAUGGCUCAGAUUGAACGCUGGCGGCAGGCCUAACACAUGCAAGUCGAGCGGUAGCACAGAGAGCUUGCUCUCGGGUGACGAGCGGCGGACGGGUGAGUAAUGUCUGGGAAACUGCCUGAUGGAGGGGGAUAACUACUGGAAACGGUAGCUAAUACCGCAUAAUGUCGCAAGACCAAAGUGGGGGACCUUCGGGCCUCAUGCCAUCAGAUGUGCCCAGAUGGGAUUAGCUAGUAGGUGGGGUAACGGCUCACCUAGGCGACGAUCCCUAGCUGGUCUGAGAGGAUGACCAGCCACACUGGAACUGAGACACGGUCCAGACUCCUACGGGAGGCAGCAGUGGGGAAUAUUGCACAAUGGGCGCAAGCCUGAUGCAGCCAUGCCGCGUGUGUGAAGAAGGCCUUCGGGUUGUAAAGCACUUUCAGCGGGGAGGAAGGCGAUAAGGUUAAUAACCUUGUCGAUUGACGUUACCCGCAGAAGAAGCACCGGCUAACUCCGUGCCAGCAGCCGCGGUAAUACGGAGGGUGCAAGCGUUAAUCGGAAUUACUGGGCGUAAAGCGCACGCAGGCGGUCUGUCAAGUCGGAUGUGAAAUCCCCGGGCUCAACCUGGGAACUGCAUUCGAAACUGGCAGGCUAGAGUCUUGUAGAGGGGGGUAGAAUUCCAGGUGUAGCGGUGAAAUGCGUAGAGAUCUGGAGGAAUACCGGUGGCGAAGG